UGGGGAAUAUUGGACAAUGGGCGCAAGCCUGAUCCAGCAAUGCCGCGUGGGUGAAGAAGGCCUUAGGGUUGUAAAGCCCUUUCAUCGGGGAAGAUCAUGACGGUACCCGAAGAAGAAGCCCCGGCUAACUCCGUGCCAGCAGCCGCGGUAAUACGGAGGGGGCAAGCGUUGUUCGGAAUUACUGGGCGUAAAGCGCGCGUAGGCGGCUUAGCAAGUUGGGGGUGAAAGCCCGGGGCUCAACCCCGGAACUGCCCUCAAAACUGCUUCGCUAGAGACCGGGAGAGGAGAGUGGAAUUCCCAGUGUAGAGGUGAAAUUCGUAGAUAUUGGGAAGAACACCAGUGGCGAAGGCGGCUCUCUGGACCGGUUCUGACGCUGAGGCGCGAAAGCGUGGGGAGCAAACAGGAUUAGAUACCCCCGUAGUCC
rnacentral:rRNA from 1 species